rnacentral:rRNA from 1 species
CACGGCGCUCGAAGCGCGUCGUGGUAUUUCGCGUAUUGUAAUUUCAACACGAGCGGGGUCAAAUCCUUUGCAGACGACUUAGCUGUGCGAAACGGUCCUGUAAGCAGUAGAGUAGCCUUGUUGUUACGAUCUGCUGAGGGUAAGCCGUCCUUCGCCUCGAUUU